rnacentral:rRNA from 1 species
GGAUUCCCCUAGUAACUGCGAGUGAAGCGGGAAAAGCUCAAAUUUAAAAUCUGGUAGUCUUUGGCUGCCCGAGUUGUAAUCUAGAGAAGCAUUAUCCGCGCUGGACCGUGUACAAGUGUCCUGGAAUGGACUAUCAUAGAGGGUGAGAAUCCCGUCUUUGACACGGACUCCCAGGGCUUUGUGAUGUGCUCUCAAAGAGUCGAGUUGUUUGGGAAUGCAGCUCUAAAUGGGUGGUAAAUUCCAUCUAAAGCUAAAUAUUGGCGAGAGACCGAUAGCGAACAAGUACCGUGAGGGAAAGAUGAAAAGAACUUUGGAAAGAGAGUUAAACAGUACGUGAAAUUGCUGAAAGGGAAACGCUUGAAGUCAGUCGCGUUGGCUGGGAAUCAACCUUGGCUUGGCUUACUUCCCAGUUGACGGGUCAGCAUCAGUUUUGACCAGUGGAUAAAGGUUAGGGGAAUGUGGCACCUCCGGGUGUGUUAUAGCCCUUGAUCA